rnacentral:lncRNA from 1 species
CUCUUAGUGAAGAUAGAUUCAACAUGAUUAGAAGAGAAUUAGGUAUUUGUGAUCCUUUUGUUUAAAUUCUCUCAAAAUUCAUAGAUCCAUCAAGCCCUUUGAUCUUUUUCAUUCAAUUCUUAUCCACACUAAUCCUCUUAAAUUCUUAUCUCUGAACCCCCUUGAAAAAUUAGAUUUUCAUUCUGCUUGGGCUUGAGUCGACUCAAGGUUUAGUCUGAGUCGACUCAUGCUUGAGUCGACUCAAGGGUUUAUUGAGUCGACUUAGGGUCAGAAAUGCUAUUUUUAAAUCGAGUCUUCUUCUUCCUUAUUCACUUCGACUCUUCCACUGUUUGACCUAGAACCACCUCCUUAGCAUUCAAAGGACCCCAUCCGACCUCUCCACCUAUCAUUUUCUCUAACUUCUUUGGAUCUUUCCAUCAUGGUGUGCAAUGGGGCCAAGGACAAAGUGAUUGGCUGUCAAGCGGAGGCUGCAUCAAAUCGAGCAUGAAUCUUUAAGAGAGAGUGACUCUGAUUUUGAAGGAGGUAAUGCUGCUUCUCAUUCUCCCAUUCCUCGCUUUCCUUCUCUUCUUGAUCGACAAGUCACAACUGAUCGAAA